GUGCUCGCUUCAGCAGCACAUAUACUAAAAUUGGAAUGACACAGAGAAGAUUAGCAUGGCCCCUGCGCAAGGAUGACAUGUAAAUAUGGUCACCUAAAAAUA
rfam:Erinaceus europaeus unplaced genomic scaffold scaffold00122, whole genome shotgun sequence